AUCUUAACGGGCUUUGGAUAAUGUCUAAUACUUUUAUAAAAUUGUUCAGGGAAUUUUUUUUUUUAACACUUUUUUUUUCGGAAAAACACCAGACUAUAACUGGGAAGGUCUCGAGAAUUAAUUCUCGGAAAGAGUACCAAUAUGGAAUCGAACCGUGGUGGGGAGUUGUAAUUGCGGUAACACUCAACCACCUUUGAACGGGUUCGAAUUGGCCUUCAAUGUUCUUUUUCUAAAUACUACGUACUGUUGUUUACAACUUGUUUUUGUAAAAUCGUUUUAUAAAGAACUUAAUCCAUCUAAUAUGCAGUGUACAAGUCAUAGUCUGAUACAUGAAAUGUCUUCCAUUAAAGUAUUUUUAUGAAAAACAUUUCAAAUAUUUUCUAGAGUAAUUGGCGUAGAUACACUCAGAAACCCAUGUAAUUUGCCAUAUAACUUUGUUUCUUUUUAAUAUUUUUAAUGACUAUAAUACUCUUAUCUAUAUUUCUUUCUCUUCUCCUUUUUAUGUGUUCUAAUCUCUUUAUCUCUCGUACAAAUUCUUCAAAUCAUCUUCUAAUUCAACACAAAUCUUUAUUUUUUUAUUCUAAUUCUUUUGACACCCAUAAUACUAAUUUUAUUAUCUCAUCUCAAUUCCAAUGUUUCCAAUUUCGAAUCACAAUCAACUUUUAGAUAAUAUAUACGUUAGUAGGUAUUUUAUUACUUACCUGCUAUUAUUUAGAUUUUAAUAGAUUCUUAAUCGAUACAUGAAGUGUUAGCUGUUACAAAUAGAUUUGGAGCUAUUUAAUAGAUAACUAAUUAAUUGAUAAUAGUUUCAUUAACUAAUAUAUGAUUUGUUAGUCGAUACAUUUGUUUGAUACAUAGAUUGUUAGAUGAUACUGAAAUUAUUAGCGGAUAUGUUAGUUGGUAUGUAGAUUGUUACCUGCUAUGUAAAUAUUUAGCUGAUAGAUCUAGAGUUACUUGUUUUCAACAAAGCAUAAGGGUAUUUUCGUCCGCACAGUGUCAAAAUAUUACUCUUUUUUGGGUUAUCCAUAAUUAUGGGCAUUCAACAAAUUUGGAUCUUAAUUGGGGAUAUUCCACACAUUAUCUCUAUUUUCUAUUACUUUUGGACUAUAUUUUCUGUCAAGAAUGUGGUAAUAUCUUCCAAUGAUAGCUUGCAUUAUAAUAAUAAAGUAGAAUCUUAGUUUCUAUUGGUCUGGUUUAAUAAUUAGAGAGAUAUGUCCUACUAAUUAAUCAUAAUUCUAAAAAAUGAAAAUUCGGAAAGCUUAGAUUUUCAAGUCAUACUGCUCUUGUGUUUUUGUGUGAGUAUUGCUGUUGAAUGUGUUGUCGAAGUUGUUGAGAAUUGAGUGUAUUAUAUUCUUCAUGUUUUUCUUUUACUUUUAUCCAUAUAUACGAGAACAAUGGAUAAUGAGGUUAUGCAUUCUUUGGAAGAAGAUUGCAACCGUGGUAUGCUUCAUGAUGAUUAUGAUGGUGACCUAGUUCAAAAUGAUCAUAAUUAUGGUAUAAUCAGGGCCGACCCUUAGAUUUUGAAGGCUUGUGGCGGUGUCUAUGUAAAUUUUUUUUUUUAUAAAUUUGGGGGCCUAAAAUUUUUUUUCGGGAACCAUUCGUAUGUAAUUUUUAAAAAAAAAAUUGGAGGUUUGUUGCAAAUGUUUCACUACGUAUUCCCCAAGGCCGGCCCUGGGUAUAAUUCAAAACAUAGAUGAUGUUGGCACUAAUUUUAAAUUAAGAUAAAAUACCAUGAAUAUGGAAAAUCUUCAUCAUAUUGGUGGAAGUUAAUUGUAUGACAAAAAAAAAGGAUAAUGUGUUGUUGUUGGCAUGCAGGGGCGGAGCUAGUUAAGAGGGAGUGGGGUCAGCUGACCCCACUAGAUUUCCAUAAAUAUUGUAAUUAGUAAGGAAAUUUGAAAAGUUAUAUUGGUUUUGCUGGUAAAUGACCCCCUUUAAUUAUCUUGUUUGAUUCUUUCCUUUUUCUAUUUCUUUGAUUUCUUCUUAUUGCAUGAUGUAUCUUUAUGACUUGAUUUCUUAUUCAUAUUCUCAGUUACUAAUAUUUUCUUUUAUGAUAAUGUACUGUAUAGUUUUCAAAACAUAAUUUAUUUUAAUUACUUUCUUUUUCUUUUAUCAUUUACUUUCUCUAAAUAAUCUUUUAAAUAAAUUAUGCAAAUUAAUGAAAUAAAAAUUAUCAUGCAACGUGAAAUUUAUAUAAAUAGUAUUUUAUAUGGUACCAUUUAAAAUUAGUGUUUGCUUAUUUUGCAUACACAUAUGAUUUUUAUAAUUUAUUUCAUAUUUAUUUUAAUAUAUAUAUAUAUUUCAUAUUUAUGUUUCUGGCUCCGCCAGUUCGCCACUAUUGGCAUGUAAUGUGUUGUUGAUAGCUAUUCAAACAUUGCAAAUAUUAACUCUUAAGAUAAUUGAAGAAGCAAAUAAAACUUUUGUCAUUUAUGAUAAUAAAUGUGAAAUAAGUAAUAAAACUGAAAUGAUGGAUAUGUGGGAUGUUAAUACAAACAAAAUAUUAAUAUUUCAUUGGUUUAAUACUAUAGAGUUAUAUGUAUGAGUGUCUUGAAAAAAAUUCAGUAGUCAUUUAUUUCUAUUUUAGUUGAUUAUUUUUUAAUUUUUUUAAUUCAUUUAAUGAUUUUGCUUUUCCAUUUAAAAUGUUCAAGUUGUAUGUGUCGCAUGAAAUUUCCCUUGACUUUUGUUAUGAUUUGGUGAAAAUGCAGGGGAAUUUCACAACAAAAAUAUGAGAAUCGAUUUGUUUUCAAAGCCAUUAGCAGAAUCACACUUUUUCCAAGAACAAUGAAGAGUCAAUUUUGAGUUCUUAGAUGUAAAUGCCAGAAUUCUCAAAAAAUAUAUCAUGCUCUACAUUUUUUCUAUGCAAUGAUCUUACGUUACCAAAAUCUUUUUGGAAAGCUGUAUUAAAUCAUUUGGAAAAUAAAAUUGAGGAUGUUUCUCAAAAUCAAUAUUUAAAUAGUGACUGUCGCGAUCAUUUACUUACAAAGCUUAACAUAUAUAAGAAUUAUGAAAUGAAUCUAUAUCUCCGAUGAUAUGUAUAAUUUUUAUUUAAAUUUAUUUGCGUAAAAAAGUCAUUAAUAAAAUUUUAAACAGUUUUAUAAAAAAAAAUACUUAUAGUUUAACUCUUGUACACUAGCGGAACUUUUCUCCAAUUGACAGUCUAAUUAGGAACAUUUCUCCAGAAGCUAACAUUUGUCCCUGUAAGCUUGAGUGUAACCAAGCAUUGUUAUCCCACAUCCAUUCGUUGUCUAUGUGGUAGAGUCCUUUUGUUUCAAGGGGAAUAAGUGAAGGAUUCAGUAGUUGAAAUGAUUUUGCAUUUAGAACUCCACAAUAUUCAAGCACCUUUCUACUGAUUCAUAUAGAAUGUUUUGUAUAUCUGUCUUUCAAAAUGAAAUUUUAUUUAAAGUUUAGAUCAUCUUUAAAUUACGUUUCCAAUUUAACCAAUUGAGCUAUUUUCACUAUUGAUCACAGCUAACAAUUUAACCAGUUGAACUAUUUUCACUACAUUUUUACAAAUUUAAUUGUUAGCUGCGACGAACAUAAUCAAUUGAGCUAUUUUCACUACUGAUCGGAGCUAACAAAUUACGUUUUUAUAUUUUAAUUUGUGGCACUUGACACCCUUUUAUUGUGUAUGGGUCUACCUAUGCUCUUGUACAAUAUGAAAAGGCAUAAAAACUUUACUUUUAAAUGAUUUUUAUGUAGAGAAUAAUAAAACUAUAAAAAAAAACGAGUGAAAUAUGCAAAUGAAAGAAAUUUUAUUCCAUUAUUAUUUUUCUCAUCUAAAAUAUUUUCUAAUAAACAUGUUUUACUAUUAUUUUAAGUUUUUGAAUUAAUAACUAAACCGGUAAUUCUUGCGAACCGGCAAAAUUAGGAGGUUUGUAAUUUUGUAUUAUCUAAACCGAAUUGUAAAGUAUAAAGAUGGACCUUACCUUUUCUCUUGUCAAUCCACUUCUGCAAUAGCUCGAAACCAGGUUAGUCUAGCAUUCUCCUUCUUGUCACUUAUUUGCAUGCAUAUCUCUAUGUAUGUUAAUUUCUCUAAAGUUUUUGUCUUUCAUGGUAAUAUUGCGCGCCUAUAUUCUAGAUGUUGCAUCUGAAACAGAGGUCAGUUUCUGUUCUAUCCAACUCCAGUCCUCCACAGUUCUCGCUUCACUUGCAGAGUUGGAUCUCUUCCAGUUAGCAAACCGUAUUCAGAAGCUUCCCACUUCUUCACACUCCGUUGCUCUCACGAGGCUUCUCCAAUCAGUUCUGAAGAUUUGAAGUUAGUGUAGUUGGAGAAGGUCGACAGUUGGGUCGUAUGCUUUGCCAAGCUGAUUCCCAAAUGACUAUCAAGGUUAUGAUUUUAGAUCCUUCAGAGAAUUGCUCAGCAAGUUCCUUGUCCUACGGUCACAUGGUUCAUAGCUUUGACGAUAGUGCUACUGUAGAAGAGUUUGCUACAAGGUCCCUUCUUUUCUUCUCUUUCUUGAAUGUUUCCUAUUGUUAGUGACAAAUUUGAUGUUUAUUGUCGUCGUUAGAUGUGGAGUCUUGACCGUGGAAAUUGAACAUGUUGACGUGGAAACGUUAGAGAAGCUUGAGAAACAAUGAGUAGAUUGCCAAGCAAAAGUCUCUACUAUCAGGCUGAUAAUACAGGUUUCCUAAUCUCCCAAAUCUUUUCAGCAACUGAAGAAUGUCAAGCAAUGUGAUUUAUAUCAGGCACUUUUGAUGUUUUCAGGAUAAAUACAUAUGCAAAAGGAUCAUUUCUCUCAGCAUGGCAUCCCACUUCCAGAGUUUAUGGAGGUUAGGCCUUUGUUUCUGCUUUGGAGAAAGAAUCUCUCACUAAGUUCUACAUGAAUGAAUCAUGAGGAGUUUGUUACAUAUUUUUAACCACUUAAGCCUUGACAUGACAGAUGGGCGAUUUUGCAGGAGCGGAAAGAGCAGGUGAACUUUUCGGCUACCCUCUUAUGAUCAAGAGCAAGCGAUGGACGCAGAAAUGCAGUUGCCAAUAGCCAAGACGGCCUUUCUUCUGCUGUAACGGGUAAUAACAUUACCAAGUAUAAACUGUCAUUAUUGAUAUAACCUUUGUCCAGCUCUUGGAGGUUUCAGGUAUGGUUGCUUCACUCACUCCUUUGCCUGUGAUUGGACUUGUUUGGAUGGUGUUGAUUCAGUUCUCUCUAUCGUUCAGGUAAGCACUCAUUGCUUCAUGUUUCACUUGAGCUAUUAAUUGCUUGCAGUUUUUCAAACAUUUAUCUUUCUUUUGGGGGUGUUCCUGUGGCGACAGUUGCAAUAAACAACUCCACCCAUGCAGCAUUGCUCUCUAUCCGGAUGCUUGGGAUCUCUGAUACUGACCUUCUCUCAAGGUUCUUUUACCUUCCUUGUUUCUUUAACAUAGAUUCAAACUGAACAAGACUAAAUUAGGGUUGUGGGUUUUGCUUGGUUGGUCAGGAAUCAGGAUGAGCCAGUACCGGGAAGACAUGAGAGAAGAGAACAUGGUUAAAGGAGGUUGAGUGAUUGAUUUUGCUGACAAGAAGUUCCUACUGAGAGCAUUCUUGAGUUGUUGUCACAAGUAAUUCCGGUUUAGCUUCUUUUUUUUUUUUUGGAACAACCAUCCGGUUUAGCUUCUUGAAGUUAAGGCACAGCUGAAUUUGUCUCCACAGAGAUGUCAAUGUAAACCGAUAUAUAUAUCAUUAUCAAGUAUAACUAAAAGACUGCCAUAUUGAACCGGUUAAGCCAGUAGAUUCGAUGUACAUUCAUUAACUAAUAUAAAAGUGACCUUAACAAAACCAAAAAACAAUCCAUAACCUUAUU